rnacentral:ribozyme from 13 species
AAGAAGAAUUGUGAGAAGAGAGAACGCAAAGGAGAUCUUUGAUUGUUUCUGGGGAUUGUGUUUCUUUUUCUCUUUCCUUUCCUUUUUCUUUUCCUUUUUCUUUUCCUUUUU